rnacentral:lncRNA from 1 species
AUUACCAAUGAGGGUGAAGUGGUUCCAUGAUGACAUGUUAUUUUGCCUUGUGCACUCACUAAACUUUAGUGAAUCUAGCAUGAUUAUAAUACCAUAAUAUAAUACCAUAUUACAAGGCAUUGCUCCUGUGAUAUUCAAAUGGAAGAAUACAAAGAAAAAAAUAAACAACUGGAAAACCUUUGUCACUGCAUAAUCUUAAUAGUGAAAAGUAUGCAAAUUAGGAAGAUAAAGAUCAAAAUAAAGAAGCUUGCAUGCAUACAUCUCUUCAAAACAACAACAACAACAAAAACUUUAAAAACAACCAAUGGAGAAUUGCAACAAACAUCAAGUGAUUUCAUCAUAUGGGGGUUGUUUACAACAUCAAAAAUUUACCUGUUUGGAAAGUCAAGGUGGUGGAGGUGUAGGUGGAUGUGGAGUACAUCUCUCUCCAUGACGCAUUAGGAAUACACCUUCAGACACAGAAGAUUUUGCAGAACACCAAUUGAAAGUGGGCAGAAGCCCCUGACCAUGAGAAAGGAAUAUACAAAUCUACACAAAGAAGGACAAAAGAAGUGGGGGAAAGAGAGUAAACAGAACUGGACUUACACCCAGAGGUUGGGGAAACUGAAGCAGAGUCAAAUUCCCACAUCAGGGCAAUUGCUUGAGACAGAGGAGAAGCAUUUGAGGCUGUUGGAGAGUGCAUCAGCUGAUCUGUGACAGGCUGAAUGGAAUGAGAAUCACAUAGACAAUACUUGCCAAAGCCAUACAUACCCCACACAGGUAUGCAAGUCCCCUAGAAAGUGCAGUGGCUGGGAGCUGGAUCAUAGGGAUUGGAGAGAAAUCUCAGGGUGAGGUCUGCUGUUGCCUGCAGGGAGAUGGUCCAAGAGAACAUGAAGGAGGAGAUUGUGGUGGGAAAUGCCUGGGGAGGAAAGCCAAACAGCCAUGAAGGCAAGGCAAAACUGCUGAAUCACAUACAAGGGAUGGAGCCAUCACUGUAGCCUAUCUCUCCCCAAACACCAGCUCUGGCUGCUGAACAAUAGAGAAAGGCACCAGAGAGAACAGCACUUUAAGUGUCUGAUGCAUUGAGCAAUAGAGAAGAAUCCCAUCCAGGGUGGCCAUUUAAGGAUCUGAUAUGCUGAGCAGUGGCACCCCGCUCCACUACUCUUGCCUGUAGAAUCCCAUGGAUGGAGGAGCCUGGUAGGCUGCAG